rnacentral:snRNA from 1 species
UCCGUAAGCGGCUAGCAAUUGCCC